rnacentral:rRNA from 1 species
UACGAAGGGUGCAAGCGUUAGUCGGAAUUACUGGGCGUAAAGCGUGCGUAGGAGGUCUCUUAAGUCCGUUGUGAAAGCCCUGGGCUCAACCUGGGAACUGCAGUGGAUACUGAGAAGCUAGAGUGUGUCAGAGGAUGGUGGAAUUCCCGGUGUAGCGGUGAAAUGCGUAGAGAUCGGGAGGAACAUCAGUGGCGAAGGCGGCCAUCUGGGACAACACUGACGCUGAGGCACGAAAGCGUGGGGAGCAAACAGG